AAAUGAAUUGACGGGGACCCGCACAAGCAGCGGAGCAUGUGGUUUAAUUCGAAGCAACGCGAAGAACCUUACCAGGGCUUGACAUACCAGUGACCGGCCUAGAGAUAGGCCCUUUCUACGGAACACUGGAUACAGGUGGUGCAUGGUUGUCGUCAGCUCGUGUCGUGAGAUGUUGGGUUAAGUCCCGCAACGAGCGCAACCCUUGCCUUUAGUUACCAUCAUUAAGUUGGGGACUCUAAAGGGACUGCCGAUGAGAAAUCGGAGGAAGGUGAGGAUGACGUCAAAUCAUCAUGCCCUAUAUGUCCUGGGCUACACACGUGCUACAAUGGUCGGUACAACGAGCAGCCACUUAGCGAUAAGGAGCGAAUCUCAAAAAGCCGAUCCCAGUUCGGAUUGCAGGCUGCAACUCGCCUGCAUGAAGUCGGAGUUGCUAGUAAUCGCGGAUCAGAAUGUCGCGGUGAAUGCGUUCCCGGGUCUUGUACACACCGCCCGU
rnacentral:rRNA from 1 species